AACAGCUUUCAAGACUAGUUUCAAAUUUGUCGAUUCAAUGGAUCAAGUGUGUAAUUGAUCCAAUAAAAAAGAGUAUAAAGUGAGAAGGAAGAAAGUGUGAAAAAAGAAGAACGUGAAACGUGCAGAAGAUACGAAAUGAGUUUGAAGACUGCACUUUUCGAGCCUCGAUGGUCAGUCACUUGGUCAGUUGCGAAAAAGCUGUGAAAAUGAUACAUUGUGUCGGC
ensembl:ncRNA T13H10.17 ncRNA